CCUUCGAUAGCUCAGUUGGUAGAGCGGUGGACUGUACGAAGUUGUGAUGGUUAUCCAUAGGUCGCUGGUUCGAAUCCGGCUCGAAGGA
rfam:Ciona savignyi cont_32991, whole genome shotgun sequence.